ACCAGACUCCUACGGGAGGCAGCAGUGGGGGAUAUUGCACAAUGGGGGGAACCCUGAUGCAGCGACGCCGCGUGGGUGAAGGAGCGUUUCGGCGCGUAAAGCCCUAUCGGCAGGGAAGAAGGAGGACGGUACCUGACUAAGAAGCCCCGGCUAACUACGUGCCAGCAGCCGCGGUAAUACGUAGGGGGCAAGCGUUAUCCGGAUUUACUGGGUGUAAAGGGAGCGUAGACGGCAGUGCAAGUCUGAAGUGAAAGCCCCGGGCUUAACCCGGGAAUUGCUUUGGAAACUGUACGGCUGGAGUGCUGGAGAGGUAAGCGGAAUUCCUAGUGUAGCGGUGAAAUGCGUAGAUAUUAGGAGGAACACCAGUGGCGAAGGCGGCUUACUGGACAGUAACUGACGUUGAGGCUCGAAAGCGUGGGGAGCAAACAGGAUUAGAUACCCGUGUAAA
rnacentral:rRNA from 1 species